CCUGGUCCGAUCCGAUCCGAUCCAUCCAAAUAUGGCAGCUCGGCCGGUGAAAAGUCCAGCGCACCCCUCGAAAUAGCAAAAUCACGCCCAUCGAGUGGCAACCAGGGAUGGGUUCCCAGACCGGUCCCCGGCGCCACGGCCGCGUCUGCACGCACGCACCCCCACUAAUCCUUUCUUUCUUUGGACGCUUGCGCCGCUAGCUCUUCCUCCCCAUGGCCAUGGGGACUGGGGGCGGGGAGUCGAUAAAAACACGUACUGCCGCUGGUCCUUGCUAGGAGGGUGCGAAAGCGAAGCCCCACGCCCAUGCCGCGCGCAGAUUGUUGUCGAGCUCGCGGUCCUUCCUUCGCUCCUCGCCACAGCCCGCGAUUCGGUUGGUGCCCCGUGCCCUCCCUCGCACUGACUAGCUCUUGGACUCUUGCGCCACCUGCUCCCCGUCCUCAUCUCUCAGUCUUGUCGCCUCCCCGUCCAUCCCUUGCUGCCAUCAAGAUCCAGCGUUUGUUUGCCCUCUGAUCUCCCACUCGCUGCAACUUGCCAGCUACCUCACCGGCGGUUUAUUGGUGCAUACGUCCUGCUCGACGUAAUGCUCGUGAGAGCCUUUUGCUACCGGUGAGCUAACUAGCCAGCAGCUUUUCUUGGGCCGGGUCAUGGUGGAUUGAUUGAGCGUCCACGACGAUGGGCCGGUCGGAGAGGACCGUUGUGUGGUUCAGGAGGGACCUCAGGAUCGACGACAACCCGGCUUUGGCCGCCGCUGCCAGGGACGGCGCGGUGCUCCCUGUCUUCAUAUGGUGCCCGGCCGAGGAGGGGCGCUUCUACCCCGGCCGCUGCUCCCGGUGGUGGCUCAAGGAGUCGCUUGCGCACCUUGCCAGGUCGCUGGAGGCGCUCGGCUGCCCGCUCGUGCUGAUCCGAGCUCAGAGCACUCUUGCCGCGCUUCUGCAGUGCGUUGAUUCCAUCGGCGCCACCAGAGUGGUCUAUAAUCAUCUAUACGACCCUAUUUCACUUGUGCGGGAUGACAAAAUCAAGAAUGAGCUUUUGGGCCUUGGAAUUUCUAUGCAGAGUUUCAAUGGUGAUCUGCUAUAUGAGCCAUGGGAAGUUUAUGAUGAGAAUGGGCUUGCAUUUACAACGUUCAAUAAGUAUUGGGAAAAGUGCAUGAAAUUGCCUAUCGAGAUAUCACCAUUUCUUGCCCCUUGGAGGUUGGUGCCUGUCUCAGGUAUAGAAAACAUUUGCAGUAGUUCAAUUGAUAACCUAGGUCUUGAAUCAAGUAAGGAUGAGGAAUCAAGCAAUGCUUUGCUAAGCAGGGCUUGGUCUCCUGGCUGGCGCAAUGCGGAGAAGACACUUGAGGAUUUCGUGUCUCAUGGUCUCCUAGAUUAUUCAAAAGACAGAAUGAAGGUUACCGGAACUACAACAUCGUUAUUGUCACCAUAUCUUCAUUAUGGUGAGGUGAGUGUAAGGAAAAUCUAUCAACUUGUCAGGAUGCAACAGAUCAAGUGGGAAAAUGAGGGGAAAUCCGGAGCUGGGGAGAGUGUUAACUUGUUCCUGCUGUCAAUUGGUCUCCGAGAAUAUUCACGUUAUUUGUGUUUCAACUUUCCAUUCACACAUGAAAGGUCGCUGCUGGGGAACUUGAAACACUACCCCUGGCGAGCAGACGAGGACCGGUUCAAGUCCUGGAGACAGGGAAUGACAGGAUACCCGUUAGUAGAUGCUGGCAUGAGGGAGCUAUGGGCUACUGGCUGGACACAUAAUCGUAUAAGAGUAAUAGUUUCAAGUUUUGCUGUGAAAUUUCUACUAAUUCCGUGGACUUGGGGGAUGAAGUACUUUUGGGAUGUGCUGUUGGAUGCUGAUAUAGAAAGUGAUAUUCUUGGCUGGCAGUACAUAUCUGGGUGUUUGCCUGAUGGACACGAGCUUGGUCGUCUUGAUAAUCCAGAGGUUCAAGGUCAAAAGUAUGACCCAGAUGGUGAAUACGUAAGAACUUGGAUUCCAGAGCUAGCUAGAAUGCCAGGGGAAUGGAUCCAUCAUCCGUGGGAUGCACCGAGCUCUAUACUAGAAGUUGCUGGUGUUGAGCUAGGCUUUAACUAUCCUAUGCCCAUAGUAGAACUUCACAUGGCUCGGGAGUGCUUAGAUGAUGCCAUCUCCACGAUGUGGCAAUUGGAUACAGCCGAAAAACUUGCAGAAUUAGAUGGUGAGGUUGUUGAAGACAACUUGAGCCAUAUCAAGAGUUUUGAUGUCCCAAAAGUUGUUUUGAAGGAACUAUCUCCAAGUGCUCCUCGCUGUGAUCAAAAAGUGCCCACUGAUAAUGGCAGGAAUCUUGAGUUACAGCCUAAGGAACUGAAGGGCACAGAUAAACAGACCAUUUGUGUUAAUGUGAUCAAGGCCUCAAAGAUGGAAGACUCAGGCUCCAUGGCAAACUCUCCGAUAUCAAGGAAAAGAUCCAGCAGCGGGAGUGUGUUUAAUGUCCCAUCUUAUUCAUCUUCAGUCGAAGUGCGCUCACAGAAUCAGCAUCCUGGUGGUUAUUCAGUUGGGUCGUCAGGAUAUAUCGUGCAGAACGCAGAGAGGAACUGUGUUGGCAAGGCAGAAGAUGAUGACAGUGCCGAUAGCUGUACAAACACCUCAAGAGCAUCCAAGAGACCUGCCGCCUGACAAGGGUGAUUGUGAAGACUGUAGGGCUGAACUAUGGAGUGGACAAGGGCAACACUCAUCUUCCUGCAUCCCGUUCUCACCAGAAGAAAUUUUUGUACAUUUUGUUAUCUGGUUAUUUUUGUCAAAUCUGUUAUAUGUAACCUAUAAUUAGUUGCAACACUUACACGAAACGGUUUUGUUCUUGGGGGAAAGAGUCGUUUACUUGCUUAUUCUUUUCUGCGAUGGGAGCAAAAGUUUCAGAUUCUUC
rnacentral:rRNA from 1 species